CAACUACAAUCAGUGCAACAACAACCUGAAACGCAACAAUUACAAUAUGG
rnacentral:lncRNA from 1 species